AUGGAAAGGGCUGGAUGUGGUGCUGGGGGUACUGCACCCCCAAAUCCCAACCCCACAGCCCCAUGGAAAGGGCUGUAUGUGGUUCCAGGGGUACUGCACCCCCAAAUCCCAACCCCACAGCCCCAUGGAAAGGGGCUGGAUGUGGUGCUGGGGGAACUGCACCCCCAAAUCCCACAGCCCCAUGGAAGGGGCUGGAUGUGGUGCCAUGGGUACUGCACCCCCAGCCCCAUGGAAAGGGUUGGAUGUGGUGCCAGGGGAACUGCACCCACAGCCCCAUGGAAAGGGCUGGAUGUGGUGCCAGGGGUACUGCACCCCCAGACCCCCCAGCCCCAUGGAAAGGGCUGGAUGUGGUUCCAUGGGUACUGCAUCCCCAGACCCCCCAGCCCCAUGGAAAGGGGCAGUUCCAGGUUCGCAGCUGCUUACCCAGCCCUGGGGGCUGCCAGCAUCCUCUCCCUUCCCUGGGCUCCCCCUGACUGCUGCAGGAGUUCUCUGCUCCCAGCGUGCUGCCAGCGGGACAGGUGGCCAUGGAAAUGUCCCCAGGACAGCUCCCAGAGCCCGCCAGGGCGGGAUCCCCUCUGGAAUGUACAUUCAUCUCAUCUAGUGCGUGAAGGGAACUCCAGCGGGCCCAGUCCAGCUCUCCUGGCCCGGUGCAAAGCCAGGCCAGCCCCAGGGCGACCGGGGCCCGCUCUGGGCUUCCAGCAGAGUUUGGGAACAGAGUUUGGGAACCUAGGAAGGGUUGGCCCCUCCUGUCCCGGUGCUGAUGUGUAAAUCCACAGCGUGGCUCCCUUUGUGCAAUUACUCCUGGUUUACACCAGGCCAGGGCCCUGAGCUGCCCCAGUGUGUGGCGCCCGUUCCUGUGGGUCUGACUCCACACCUGGGGGGCUCAGGUCUCCAGCUCCAGGCAUUGCAGUAAAUCCAUCAAAUACAUUCUGUGUCAGUGCUGGUUUGCUUUCCCCUUUCCCCCCACCCUCCCCAACCCCACAAGAAAUGGGCAUUUGAAGGGUAAGAGGCCGUGCCACCCCAGCAGCACCACGGUGCCCUCCCCACAGGAGGACGUGGGUCCUGCAGGGACAUCCUGCCUCUGGGAUUUUCUGCUGGUGGCCACACUCCAAAUGAACCUGAGGGGGUCCCUCAGGGCUGAAUUUUGGGUGAAUUUGUGUUGAAUUUUGUGAGAUACCAGAAAGCCAAACCGUGGCCCCAAACCCAGGGAGGGCCUGACAUGGUGCAGUGUGGGGGUGACACAGCCCUUCCCUUUAACCACCCCAAAGCAGAGCCCUUGUAGGACAGACAGACAGACAGAUGUCCCCGGAGGGCAGUGUCCCCUCUGAAGGUGCAGUGUCACAGCCAUCAGCUCAGCACAGCUGCCAGGACCUGCCUUUGGGUCCUCCCUGCAGCAGCACAAGGCCUUGGGCAGAGUCGGCUUUGCUGGGUGGAGGGGCUGGCAAAGAUGGGGGGGAGAAGAGGAAGAGGAGAGGAGAGGAGAGGAGAGGAGAGGAGAGGAGAGGAGAGGAGAGGAGAGGAGAGGAGAGGAGAGGAGAGGAG
ensembl:lncRNA